AGCUACUCUGGAGAAAGCUAAAACCAUGAUUCAAUAGGUGAAUUCCCACAUCUUUAAUUCAAAAUUUACAGCAGGUAAAACGAUGAAAAAUUUAAGCUACAGAAAAGAUAUGGUAUUGAUGUUUCAUGGAGAGAGGAACACUUCCAGGUUGCUGCAGGAGAGCUUGAAUGUUUAAGAAGAUGGUGCCUCUGGG